rnacentral:lncRNA from 1 species
GUUCUUUUCCUCCUGCUCUCUUCCCCUUCCCUUCCUUCCCCUCUCCCUCUCUCUUUUUCAACCCCCACCUUUUUCCUCCCUCCCCUCUCUCCUUUCUUCAUCCUCCCUAUUCCCUUUCCCCUUCCUCUCCCUUCCUUCCCUCUCUCCUUUCUUCAUCCUCCCUAUUCCCUUUCCCCUUCCUCUCCCUUCCUUCCCUCUCUCCUUUCUUCAUCCUCCCUAUUCCCUUUCCCCUUCCUCUCCCUUCCUUCCCUCUCUCCUUUUCUUCCCCCACUACUUCCAUUUCUUCCCACUCCUCCAUCUCCUCCUCCCUUUCUUCCCACUCCCCUCCCCCUACUCCUCCUUUUCCGCUCACCAUGCUUAGAAUCUAUCUCACGGUCUCUGCACAAAGCUGAACUUCAUCCUUUGCCCUCAAUCUCAACAUCUUUGAAAAACGAUCGUUCGUGUAUUAUGGACAGCUGUAGUCUUUCCUCUGGCAUCUUGAAUAUGUAGCAUAUAAUAACUGUUUUAAUGCCUUUGCCUCCAAUUUCUAGGUUAUUUUCUUGGUUGCUUUUCUCUUUGAGCCGUGUUUUCCCUUCACUUUUGCCCUCUUUUUCCCCUUUUUUUUUUUUUUUUUUUUUUUUUUUUUUUUUUUUGGUUCAUGUCAUCAUGGAGUUUGCCUGGCUGCAGAACUGUCACAGCGUUCCCUCUUGUGGCUGCAACAAGGAAGCAGAACUGUCACAGCGCUCCCUCUUGUGGCUGCAACAUGGAAAGCAAGCAAGCAAACUGGCCCUUGCUUCAGGAGAGAGAAGGAGUAUGCAAGGAUCUUGUGAAGGCUUUGGAGCCCCGUUCUGA